rnacentral:lncRNA from 7 species
UUAGAGACUUUGGAUUGAAGAUCUGCAACUCCUUGUUCCUUGUCUCUAGCGUAGCUUGAAGGGUGGCCUUCUCUUGGGUCAAAGCCUUGAUAGUGCCAUAACAUUUUCGAAGGCCUUUAGCUAGGUAUUCAACAUUUUAGUCUUCUCCCCAUCGUUUUUCCAUAACACAAUGAUAUCUUCGUGAAGCUCAGAUAUGGACAUGGCAUGGCUUUUCUCUUCUAGAUCACUCUAGGUCCUAUGAGCUUUGCUUAGGGUCAUGCCCUAAAAAGGAGAAAAGAAAGAACUAUUUAUCUACUAAAGCUUGCACAAAGAAUGUAGAAACAAAGUAGAACAAAUACAAACCUUUGGGCUAUACGUAAUACAUUAGGCAAGGUCUCGCUUGCUAAGGGCAGUGACCUUGUGUUCGAGCAUUGUAACAUCCCAAAAUCCCAACCCAGGUUUGAAACCCUAACCCCCCUAAUUCCCCCCUCCUUCAUUUUAUUCUUCUCCCUUAACCCUACCCCUAGGUCACCCCAUCAUUUGCAUGCACUUAAAAUGAUUUGAAGCACCUCACAUAGACCAUAUUUAUCACCAAGUUCAUUUAGAGAAAUUUUGAUAAGAGAAAAAGAAACAAAAAGAC